rnacentral:rRNA from 1 species
GAACCGGGGAGUUUUUUUUUAGAGUAAGAGUUUUUUUGUUGUUGUUUAGAGAGAGCCGAGGAGGUGAGCAGCCGCGCGCAGUGGUAGAGGUAGGGGGCGGCUGGGGGCGGCUGGUGGGCUGACAGAGAGGCAGGUAGCGCCACCGCGGCCUCGGCCACUUCGUCUUACCUGCUGGUUCCUUAGGGAAGGGUGGGGAGCGCGCAGGUAGAGGCCGGACGAGGCUAAGGAUAGGGGGGAGAGGGAGGGUGCGCCGCGGCUCAGUCGGCUGGUGGUUGGGGAGGGCUCCAUCCAGUCCUUCCAUGGAGUGGGGCUUGGGCUUCCAUGUGCGUGCGUGACUGCAGAGAAGGCGAGCCUCGAAACGCAGUGUAUGAGUGUACCACCGCGGACCGCGCCACGCGUGUACCUUCUACGUCUAACGUCUCUAUGCACGCAUGAAGACAUAGGCGCGCGCUAGUUCAGCACGUUGGCGUCAACGUUUCGUACGGUCAACCUAAGAUCGCUAAGGGCGCAUGUUCAAACCCCACAGCCAAGUGGUGUGGGCUGCGUUUCCUAAGGGAAUGUAACCCUAAGACAAAGUAUAAAACGACACUACUACGUGACAGGGAUCUAAAACCCAAGAUCGCCAAGGGCACAUAUUGGAACCGCACAGUCAAGCUCCUUUGACACGAUUAAUCGUACGCUAUUAGUCCCCCAAGAAGAAUUAUGAUCGGUGUCACGAAAAUAAAAUCAGUAAGCUCUCAUCAGUACCGUCCUGUUCACGUCUGUCUGACAUGACCAGUACUCUAAGACAAGUAUACACCACCACUACGUCAUCCUGAUUUUAAUAGAGACUUGUGCUCAGCUCGCAACCCGACAUCGCCAGAGGUACAAAUUCUCAACUUCCUCUGUUACGAUUAAUCGUGUACUAUCAGUACCUGAGCAUUAAAACGUAAGGCAGCCAAAAUUAAGACAAUCGCAAAACAAAACGAUUAUCACCACCCCUUCCUUAGCUUCCGAAGCUUGUGCUCGUACAUAAAACGAAGCUCAUUACUACAGUUAAAAUAAGCUAAGUUUGCGAAACCAAUCGUUUUCGUCUCCCUCAUUAAUAAAGAAAUGUCUCCCUCAUUAACAGUCGUUUUGGUCCCAUUCGAAACGAGGCCCUACCACGGAUGUACUGCGAGGAAGGGAUUAUAAAAAAGGACCAGACUCAGCACUCAGUCUUCCAGGUGCAAUUGACUUCGCUUAAUCUAAAUAGACCUUAUAGAACUGAAACCUCUUAUUGAGGCUGGAAUCGAACGGUUCGAACAAAUCGUCCUUAAAUGGGGUGAACGUGGUUGAACGGUCAUGAAAUCAAAAGAUAUCAAUCCGUCGAACCUAAUACGUCCACUACCACUGUUCAAAGGUGUCAUGAUCACCGACAAUUGAAGGGUAAAGUUUCAAGUUACAUGAAGGCUAAAGUUAUUAUCCUGAUUUUAAUAGAGAAUGUACAGAGAUUAUACCCCAAGAUCUGAAGAUCACCAGAGGUACAAAUUCUCAACCUCCUCUGGUACGAACAAUCAUGUACUAUCAGUACCUGAAAAUUAAUACAUAAGGCGGCCAAUGUUAAAAGAGAGUCGUAAAACAAAGAGAUUAUACCCCUUCCUAACCUUAUGCUCGUAAAUAUAACAAAACUAUUUACUGUAGUUUAAAUAAGCUAAGUUUGUAGAUUAACAAUCGUUUUGGUCCCAAUUCGGAAGUACUGUACAGAGGGGAUUAUAAUAAGCACCAGACCCACCACUCAGUAUCACAGGUAUAAUUGUCCUUGCUUAGUAUAAAUAACAAGUGAUUUUUAUUAGUCUAAAUAGAUUUAGAAAAACUGACCUCUUAUCGAGGUUGGAAUCGAACGGUUCGAACAAAUUGUCCUUAGAUAGCACGUCGUUGAACGGUCAUGAAUACAAAAGAUAUCGAUCCGUGGAAUCUAAUACGUCGACUACCACUGUCUAAACAUGUCAUGAUCACCGACAAUGGAAGAUUAAAGUUUCAAGUUACUAAAGGGUAUUAACAACUUUAAAGGCCGGCGGAUCGAUCCGAGUAUAAAGUCAUUACAGAGUCAGUAGACUUUCUCUUUAGUCAACUGGUACGUAACGGCGGGAACCUGACAUUAUAUAACGAAUGAGAUUGGACUUAAAUUGGUAUGCGUUCAGAUACACCAUCCUACGUUUGUUAUAUAACUGGAGUCAACUGUCACUUAAAAAUGAAAUUACAUGUGUCCGGAGCUCAACAUCAAAUGGAUCUCCUCUCUAGCCAACAGAAGAUAGCACUGGCACCCUAAGAUAGAACUCUCAUUCCGUAUAACGUCUCCAAAUAAAAACUUGACGUACUCCAUACGGUAAGUACCCUGGUACGACAUUAUAUAGACUGGGGAACUCUUUAAACAAAACCGACCGUCAAGAAUCACUCGACUAUCCGAUCGGUUGAUCAUUCACUACGUAGUUUGGUCUUUAAUCGUACAGGAGAUCACAAACGAUUAGAGUUUAAAAAGCAAAUGGAACACCCUUCUGUUUAAAGAACAUGAUCUUAAUUCAAAGCAAGAAGUCUCCUCCUGUCGCGUGUCGGUGUGUCCGUUUGGUGCAAUAAGAUCGUACGAACAGAUUAGUUACCGUAGCCUUGGAAGACGGAGGGAGAGCAGGUCUAUUUGGUUCGUAUAUGACAUGUCACGAUCACGCAGAAGCAAACAUGAAGGGAAACCGUAAGUACAAUUCAUGCACAUGGCACAUAGAAUACGCCCUAAUCCCUUGUAUGGCUAUCUGUUUCCUACUACGAAAUCCACUGAACGAUGGAUCGACCCCUAAUCCUCUGGUGGUUCGACUACGAUGUCUUGCCUUUCGUUGUCAAACAAAACGACGAGAACAAAAGUCGUUAACGACACUCCCCGAGGAGAGUUGGUGGCUUGGGGUAUCCGGAAGAUAACCACCUUAAGAAUCACUAGAAACAGGUGACAAGAAGGAAGGGUAUAAAAACUUCUACAAUCCGGUGCAACGCAGUCACUUUACGGCUGUUCACAGCAAACUCUUAGAGAGAUAAUAGUCGAAUUUGGGAGACUGGAGGUGGUGAACAAAGUUUGGAAAUAAGAAUAAGGGUGACUUAUCAAGUUCUCGUUUUCACAAUAUAUAUAAAUCCGUUUACGACUAAGGUAGUUACAUAAUCGUAUAUUAUGACUUAUAAACUAAGUACAACAGAUUAAUUAUCAAAGAAAGGAACAGGUCGUCGUCACGAAUGGUUGAUACUAAUACUACUAUUAAUCCAUAGGUGGACGGCAGGAAUUGAGUAAACUACAGUCACUCGUACAAAGGACUCGUACGACCCGAGGGCGCAGCAACUGUUUUACCCGGUAUGUUAGUAAGGACAAUCAGAGUUGAGAGUUCCUUAAUUAAACUCGGGAGAUACUGCUUUAGAACAUCCCACACCACCCCCGUAUACUAUGAAUUACAGGCCAACACUUCCGUCAACAUGACGACCAACACUACUUUUCAUGGUACGACGGUUCUAGGAAAAAUUUCACUAAAGAAGAAAAUGUAGUAUAACAGAUGUGAGAAUGUCAACAUGAAACCGUAGAAAAAGAAAAAGACCAGCUUGUGUUGUUAUAAGGUACUGGUUCAUUUAAGUGUUACAAUGAGAACUGUUACACGUCUAAAACGGUCGAAACGAACAGGACAUUAUUUCUGUAGAGUCGUAUCACGUCCUUUUUUAUAAAUCAAUGGAGUCACCUUAGUAGGUCUGAGAGAGGUCUCCUUUUUUUUUGAAUAUGUUACGACUUUCGAGAGGCCUUGUGUGGUAAACACGUGAACAUUAGACUUCAAGACUUUAUCAGUCACUUUUCGACAUGUACCAACCUGAGGUAGGUCUAAAAGGACGACAACCAUCAAAGACCUUUGCUAGUAAAACCUUAACGGUCCGCCCUUCCGUCCUCUUUGUAAGUCUAGUCAUCGUUCUCCGUCGGACCUUGGUCCUUUAGACACACCGGAUGCGAACACAAAAAACGAUCACAACCUCCUACUGGACUUCUUCGACUCCACGAGGUCGGUGGCUAGGAGCGGUAGUAGCUGGUAAUAGCUCUUCCGCCUCCACGUUGUCUUUCGUUUGACUCUUUUCCAGGAGGCCGAGUUCCCCGAGUUCCAUCUUUGUUCAAUGUUUUUCCUUUAAAAUAGAACCGUACCUCCAAGACUAAAGUCGACACCGCCCACUAGAACAGUCGGCCAAGUAGAGAAAGGACCACGUUUCAAUACCGUGAGUUUGUACACUCCUCCUCCUAGCAUCUUCCGACCUUGCGUAGAACGAUUCCUACGUGUACCAACAACUCCUUCGUCUCCCCGCCGUGUAGUGUUUAGCUCCCUACAAGGACGUCGACUUCUGUGAGUAGCUCCCACACGUAGAGCCCAUGAUGUACGAACUGUUCGAGUUCAAGGUUGGGGAACCUCUUCUCUCGCAACUUCUACUACUCCACUCAGUGACCUCGGUUAGAGAACGGCAAAGAUGAAAACUGCGGCGGUUCGCGGAAGCAAAACGACAACGACGAAGAUACUACUUCUUGUGUGGUUAUUGUAAAUCAUGGUCCUCGUGUUGUUUCAACUUUUCACAAGAACGUUCGAAUCUCCGAUGCUGACGUCUAUACUCUCUCAAGCAACACGAGGAGCCGUCGACGGGAGCGGAAGGAGCGGUCGGUAUGACAUACGUGGAUAUGUACCUAUUCACGUACAAACCAGCGGUGCAACUCUUUCUCGUUGAGUAGUUGAAGAACGAUACACUACUGUGAGCAGUGCUAACGCGUGUAUAAUCGUAGGACGGCUAGUAGCCGGGUGUGUCUUAACCCUUCUUUUGAGACCACGUUGUACGAACGUUCCUACUCUCCCACACGUUAGCAAAGAGGGUGUACAAAAAGAAGUUUCCUCUACUAGAUGCCUUGCUUCAUAAACGUAACUUGUCGGUCCGUCGGAGUCCCUUCAUGAACAAACAACACCUAAAGUAGAAGCUACACCUACUCCGUCGUACCUGUUUGAAGGUCAGUAUAAACGUCUUCAACGGUCCACGACCCUAGUUUUAACAUCACUGUCCGUCUCGUCUCGUUCAACGUUUGAACCCCUGACGAGUUGGCUAGUCCGACUCCUCAGACAGAGUUCUUCUCAUGACCAUGAUGAAGUUCCGUGAGCGGAAACCUUCGUGCUUAGGACUACUCGUGGGCUUUGACCGUAGAAACCCGUACGUUGAUCGCCGCGAGGAUGUCCCUAGUAAAGAACCACGUUUGUAUGAGCCCCUCGAUGAUUCUCGAUUAGGUUCGUGUCUUAAGACCGCGCCUCAUAAUAGCUCGUAUUCUCCUUAUCAAGCACUCGUGAACAACAGGAAGCCGUGCGUGGGCCUCCUGGAAGAACCAUCUUUAAAAGGACACUUAAAGCCGUCACGCCGGAACCACCCACCAGUCCGAGUCCCUAUGGACCACAUACUAGAAUCCCUCCGACCGGGACGAGUUUCACUCGACGGUUUUGACUGCAGCGUUCUUGAUGACUGUCCGGCACUAUAUGGACAACUUCUGUUCAAACUCCACGAUCAUACCUCUAGAGCCUAGGGCGGAAUGACGCUGAUGCAGCAAUGGAUGCUUUUUGUCUUCUAAGUACACCGUCGCUCUUUUGCAGUCGCGUUUACAAUUAGACCGUUUGUCUUCACGUGUUUCCUCAACCUAGGGGAAGGAACAUCAAAUCAUUUAAUAAUAAGAGACAAAAAAACUCUUGGAUAAUAAGGAAAAAGAUAUGACUAUAUGAUACACAUAUACACGUGAAAAAUCUUCCCCAUACACUUCACGUCACUCAAUGACUACGAUCGGACUCAACACACAUGCAUUAACUUCGGAGCACAUUCCUUUGACGAAAUUUGAACACUGAUGACACAGACACACACACUGGUAAAGUUACAUUGAGGGG